GUAGUGAUGAAGAUACAUGUAUUUUCGCAUAUAUGUUUCUCCAUGCGCAUGUUGUCUAGAACUAAAUUGGCGCAUAACUAGAUGGGAUGUAUGGCUAAGAGAUGAUGGACCAACCUUUUCAGUUUCGUGUUGACAAACAUCAUCUCGUCCGCUUUCAAAUACGACUUCAUGUACCUCAGCUCAAAAGCAUUACAUUAUUGCUCUUCAGAUAGUCCCAACUGCCACCUGCAUGAUAACAUAGCGUGUAUAAGAACAAUAAGUAAGAACCCCUGCUCUACCCUGCUCUACAUCAUUGAGAAAGAACACACAAGACAUGAUGUUAACAUGCCAGUGGAUGCACAUCUUUAGGAACAGGAGCUAAAUAUUACAGAAAUAAUCCCUCCGUCCUAAAAUAAGUGUCUCAAGGUUAGUAUAACUUUGUACUAAUGUUAGUACAAAGUUGAGACAUUAUUUUGAGACAGAGAGAGUACAAAAUACUGAAAAGAAAAGCAAAAUCGAGAUGAAAAAACUUACAAGUACAUCUACAGACCAAAACUGAAGGAAAAAAGAACAAGGAAUGUACGUACUACAUGAAUGGAGGACCUCUUCAAUGUAAAUUAGUUGUCUGGCAGGGAGAACUAGUUAAGUUAUACAAUAGUAUGAAGUAUACAUCCCAAUCCUAAUUGCACAUGCUGACACAGUGUCUCUUCUGUUAUGUACUACUCCCUCCAUUCCUAAAUAUUUGUCUUUUAGAGAUUUCAAAUGGACUACCACAUACGUAUUUAUAUAGACAUAUUUUAGAGUGUAGAUUCACUCAUUUUGCUUGGUAUGUAGUCACUUGUUGAAAUCUCUAGAAAGAAAAAUAUUUAGGAAUGGAGGGAGUAGUACUAGUUCCAACUGCUGCAACUAGGUAGCCUUGAUCAAACGUACAUGCAUCAACACAAGCUAGCUAUCUCACCUCAUUGGCGCCAAAUGGCUACUUACUAGUUACUAGUCAACCAAACUAUCUUUCAACACAUAGACUUGACUUUAUUUUCCAAACUAAUAGGGUUGUCUUUGUUUUUCAGCAAUCAUACAAACAAAAACUAUACCUAAACAGACAUGCAAACAACGAUGGCCAUGGCCUCACUGUAGAACGUGAACCUCACCACCAUAGUAGCCCGCCAUGGAACCAUCUCCUCAAUCUCCCCGGUAUUCAACUUGAAAGACACGAGAAAAUC
rnacentral:lncRNA from 1 species